rnacentral:rRNA from 1 species
GAUGAACGCUGGCGGCAUGCCUAACACAUGCAAGUUGAACGAGAAGUUCCGGAACAAGUCUUCGGACAAGGGAAGGGACGGGAAGUAGCGAACGGGUGAGUAACGCGUGGGCAACCAACCUUACACAGGGGGAUAACGCAGAGAAAUUUGCGCUAAUACCGCAUAAGCGCACAGGAUCACAUGAUCCGGUGUGAAAAACUCCGGUGGUGUAAGACAGGCCCGCGUCUGAUUAGCUAGUUGGUGAGGUAAAGGCUCACCAAGGCGACGAUCAGUAGCCGACCUGAGAGGGUGAUCGGCCACAUUGGGACUGAGACACGGCCCAAACUCCUACGGGAGGCAGCAGUGGGGGAUAUUGCACAAUGGAGGGAACUCUGAUGCAGCAAUGCCGCGUGAAGGAAGAAGGUUUUCGGAUUGUAAACUUCUAUCAGCAGGGAAGA